rnacentral:rRNA from 1 species
CCUACGGGAGGCAGCAGUGGGGAAUAUUGGACAAUGGGGGGAACCCUGAUCCAGCCAUGCCGCGUGUGUGAAGAAGGCCCUCGGGUUGUAAAGCACUUUCAGUGAGGAAGAACGCCUGGUGGUUAAUACCCAUCAGGAAAGACAUCACUCACAGAAGAAGCACCGGCUAACUCCGUGCCAGCAGCCGCGGUAAUACGGAGGGUGCGAGCGUUAAUCGGAAUUACUGGGCGUAAAGCGCGCGUAGGUGGCUUGAUAAGCCGGUUGUGAAAGCCCCGGGCUCAACCUGGGAACGGCAUCCGGAACUGUCAAGCUAGAGUGCAGGAGAGGAAGGUAGAAUUCCCGGUGUAGCGGUGAAAUGCGUAGAGGUCGGGAGGAAUACCAGUGGCGAAGGCGGCCUUCUGGACUGACACUGACACUGAGGUGCGAAAGCGUGGGUAGCAAACAGGAUUAGAUACCCUAGUAGUC